rnacentral:lncRNA from 1 species
GAGCCACACAUCUCCCCACACCAAGCUCCUCCAUACAAGACCUCGGACUGCAUCACGUAAAUGCUUUUUCAGGGGCAAAAUCUAGAGAAUCUGAAACAAGCUAUCAGCUUCCCAGUUUGCACAAUUCAUCAAGAAAUUAUGCGGGGUCACUGGCACAAAUGAUGAGGCAUCUCCUGGAAGCUUAACUUCUUAUCCAUCCCAUCUCUUGGA